rnacentral:rRNA from 1 species
GAUGAACGCUGGCGGCGUGCCUAACACAUGCAAGUCGCGCGAACCCUUCGGGGUGAGCGGCGGACGGGUGAGUAACGCGUGGGUAACCUGCCCUGUACACACGGAUAACAUACCGAAAGGUAUGCUAAUACGGGAUAACAUAAGAGAGUCGCAUGGCUUUUGUAUCAAAGCUCCGGCGGUACAGGAUGGACCCGCGUCUGAUUAGCUAGUUGGUAAGGUAACGGCUUACCAAGGCAACGAUCAGUAGCCGACCUGAGAGGGUGAUCGGCCACAUUGGAACUGAGACACGGUCCAAACUCCUACGGGAGGCAGCAGUGGGGAAUAUUGCACAAUGGGCGAAAGCCUGAUGCAGCAACGCCGCGUGAGCGAUGAAGGCCUUCGGGUCGUAAAGCUCUGUCCUCAAGGAAGAUAAUGACGGUACUUGAGGAGGAAGCCCCGGCUAACUACGUGCCAGCAGCCGCCGUAAUAC